AGUUUAUUGCAGCAAUGUGAAACCCAUGUCGUUUUUUACUUGAAACAUUAGAUUUGUGCUUUAUUGAAAUUCUCCAAUAUAAUUGUAAUUUAAAAUUGCUAGUUUAAGGUUUUGUGAGUUGUUUCUCCAACCAGGCCCACGAUUCGGCUGGAAUGCUUCUUUUUUGAUAAGAUGGUAAGGAAAGGUAUCUGGUAGUUUUUAAUUGUUAUUAUUAUACAAGACAUACAUUUGCAUGGUAGAUCUGUAUUUAUGAUAUACAAUAAUUUAUCAAAUUAUAAAUAUAUAAAAAUAAAUAACUAAAUUUAUAAAUUUUAUAUUAAUAAUUUAUAAGUAACUUGAAAUUUGCAACGUAUUGGACUAAUUUAUUUAAUUCCAUAAUCUCUGUAUCUUAGGCUGCUGAUACAUAUUUUAUUUAUCAUCAUCAUCAUCAUCAUUAUUAUUGUUUUGUUUUUUCCUUUUUUUGAGAGAAGCCAGAUUAUACCAGAAAAAGAGACAUGGAUGACCGCUUAUAAUCAUCUGGAUUAUCUUUAAGGAUUCGUCAAGGGCAGAAGCUGAACGGACGCGCAAAGGAAGUACCUGCCUCCCUCCUGAAAGUGGUUGUAAAUGGGCUCAGUCUAUAACAUAUUCAUUUCGAGUUUAGGCUGCACGGAUGAAGGGUGUAGGUCCAGCAAGCAAUCUUGAAAUUGCAACAACUGAAGCUUUUAUCGAAUGAUCGUCACACCCUUAACAGAUGGGCAGAACCCAGGAAAAUCAUCAGACGAGUAAUACGUUAAAGUCAUGCGAAAUUACGAUAACCAAGUAAAAGGAGAACCUUAUAUUACGGCUGAGUUCGCCAACGAUCAGUCAAGGGCAUCAUUUCCUGUUGGUGACGGGAAGUAUUAUUCUAGAGAUGGUGUUACUGGAGCUAAGAGAAAGCGCAGAGAAACAUGAGAGUCAGUUCACAACUAAUGGUGUUCAAUUCACACAUUGACGCAAGCAGCGCUGUCUGGACUCUUAUCGACAACGACAAAUUAGGCAAUCAGAUUGCGAGAUUAGCAGCAAUUGUGGUAGGAAUUAGUUUUUUUUUCUGAAAAGUAGUCCACAUUUUCACAAGAUCAAGCGCAAAGUUUCGCUUUGUUCGACUGAAGGACAGUUUCUUCAAGCCUUAUAAUCAAUUAUGUAAUAAAAUUUGAGGCUGUUUUAGACA